UGGAUUUAGCAAAACAAUUUCAAAUGAAAGAUCUGACCACCCUGCUCCCCGAAAGAUGCCCAGGUUCCCCCAGUCUGUCCGACCAAUCCCCGUCUACUCGGAACAAAUGUCCUUGUUUCAUUGGCUGACAGGGAAAAUAAGCGACCUUGGAUGCUGUGGUACAUCUGGUACUGUGGCCGCCUUUACCGUAAACUUUAGAAAGGAUUAACCACAUUGGAGAUUUUACAUUCCAUCAAAACUAUUGCCAAAGAUUGAAGAAUUGCUGAACAAAUAUUGCACAUAGGAAUUGUGCAACAAUGCCCAAAUAUGGGAAAACAAAAAUCUUUAUCCUGGGCAAGGAAAUUCCAUUGAGACUAAAGACGCACAUUGUCCCUCAGUGCUGCACCUCCGGCUCGGAACCAAAGAGAGGAGCAGCGGGAGGACCAUAGUCCAGCUACAAGUAAUACCCAGACUACCAGUACUCAGAGGAGGAAAGGGGAAACAGCGGCUGCAUGGAGAGAAAGGACAGAGCAGCUGCACAACAUUCUUGUGGAGAACAUGCCCCCCCCCCAGUAAAAUCCAUCUGCUCCAUUUUUUUUUUAACCUUUAUUUAACUCAGCAGGAUGAGUAA
rnacentral:lncRNA from 1 species